rnacentral:lncRNA from 1 species
GAAGCCGUCCAGGAGCCACAGCCUGUGCCUGAGGCCGUUCCCGAGCAUGAGGACGUGCCUGAAGCUGCCGAAGAGGCUGCCAUGGAGGUGGAACCGGCGGAGCCAGUCGUAGCUCAAGUACCAACUGCCACAGUGGAUGACAUCUUACCCGCACACGAGGAAAUCAAGGAGGAAGAGAGCAUAGAGCCGGCCAAGGUGGCUGUGGAUGACCACGUGGAUAAUGUCAAGCCCAGGGAGAGUGCUUCAGUCGCGAUCCUGGACGAGGGAGAAAAGUUGGCGGUCCCAGAGAUCGAGAGUGCUGCACCGGAUUCCAUGCAUGCAACAGAUGCCACCCUGGAGGACACACAGCGAGCAUCUUCUGCCAGUGAAGACAUUCACGAGAAUGUGGAAGAGGAGCAAACCAACGUCGCAGUGGAACAUGAAGUUUCCGAACGCGAGGUUGAGAUUGCCAUACUAGUAGAGGGACUCCCGCAGUUGGUGAACGAAGCCGUGCAGGAGCCACAGCCUGUGCCUGAGGCCGUUCCCGAGCAUGAGGCGGAGCCUGAAGCUGCCGAAGAGGCUGCCAUGGAGGUUGAACCGGCGGAGCCAGUCGUAGCUCAAGAACCAACUGCCACAGUGGAUGACGUCUUACCCACACACGAGGAAAUCAAUGAGGAAGAGAGCAUAGAGCCGGCCAAGGUGGCUGUGGAUGACCACGUGGAGAAUGUCAAGCCCAGGGAGAGUGCUUCAGUCGCGAUCCUGGACGAGGGAGAAAAGUUGGCGGUGCCAGAGAUUGAGAGUGCUGCACCGGAUUCCAUGCAUGCAACAGAUGCCACCCUGGAGGACACACAGCGAGCAUCUUCUGCCAGUGAAGACAUUCACGAGAAUGUGGAAGAGGAGCAAACCAACGUCGCAGUGCCACAUGAAGUUUCCGAACGCGAGGUUGAGAUUGCCAUACCAGUAGAGGGACUCCCGCAGUUGGUGAACGAAGCCGUGCAGGAGCCACAGCCUGUGCCUGAGGCCGUUCCCGAGCAUGAGGCCGUGCCUGAAGCUGCCAAAGAGGCUGCCAUGGAGGUGGAACCGGCGGAGCCAGUCGUAGCUCAAGUACCAACUGCCACAGUGGAUGACAUCUUACCCACACACGAGGAAAUCAAUGAGGAAGAGAGCAUAGAGCCGGCCAAGGUGGCUGUGGAUGUCCACGUGGAGAAUGUCAAGCCCAGGGAGAGUGCUUCAGUCGCGAUCCUGGACGAGGGAGAAAAGUUGGCGGUGCCAGAGAUUGACAGUGCUGCACCGGAUUCCAUGCAUGCAACAGAUGCCACCCUGGAGGACACACAGCGAGCAUCUUCUGCCAGUGAAGACAUUCACGAGAAUGUGGAAGAGGAGCAAACCAACGUCGCAGUGCAACAUGAAGUUUCCCAACGCGAGGUUGAGAUUGCCAUACCAGUAGAGGGAAGCCCGCAGCUCGUGAACGAAGCCGUCCAGGAGCCACAGCCUGUGCCUGAGGCCGUUCCCGAGCAUGAGGCCGUGCCUGAAGCUGCCGAAGAGGCUGCCAUGGAGGUGGAACCGGCGGAGCCAGUCGUAGCUCAAGUACCAACUGCCACAGUGGAUGACGUCUUACCCACACACGAGGAAAUCAAUGAGGAAGAGAGCAUAGAGCCGGCCAAGGUGGCUGUGGAUGACCACGUGGAGAAUGUCAAGCCCAGGGAGAGUGCUUCAGUCGCGAUCCUGGACGAGGGAGAAAAGUUGGCGGUGCCAGAGAUUGAGAGUGCUGCACCGGAUUCCAUGCAUGCGACAGAUGCCACCUUGGAGGACACACAGCGAGCAUCUUCUGCCAGUGAAGACAUUCACGAGAAUGUGGAAGAGGAGCAAACCAACGUCGCAGUGCCACAUGAAGUUUCCGAACGCGAGGUUGAGAUUCCCGUCCCAGUAGAAGUACUCCUGCAGUCAGGGAACGAAGAAGUCCAGGAGCCACAGCAUGCGCUUGGGACCGUUCCCGAGCCAGAGGCCGUGCCUGAGGCUUCUGAAGAGGCUGCCAACGAGGUGGAGUCGGCCGAGCCACUCGUAGCUCAAGAACCAACCGCCACAGUGGAUGACAUCUUACCCGCACACGAGGAAAUCAAGGAGAAAGAGAGCAUAGAGCCGGCCAAGGUGGCUCUGGAUGACCACGUGGAGAAUGUCGAGUCCAGGGAGAGUGCUUCAGUCGCGAUCCUGGACGAGGGAGAAAAGUUGGCGGUGCCAGAGAUUGACAGUGCUGCACCGGAUUCCAUGCAUGCAACAGAUGCCACCCUGGAGGACACACAGCGAGCAUCUUCUGCCAGUGAAGACGUUCACGAGAACGUGGAAGAGGAGCAAGCGAACGUCGCGGUGCCACAUCAAGUUUCCGAACGAGAGCUUGAGAUUGCCGUCCCAGUAGAAGGACUCCCACAGUUGGUGAACGAAGAAGUCCAGCAGCCACAGCCUGUGCUUGAGGCCGUUCCCGAGACAGAGGCCGUGCCUGAGGCUUCUGAAGAGGCUGCCAAAGAGGUGCAACCAGCCGAGCCACUUGUAGCUCAAGUACCAACCGCGAAAGUGGAUGACAUCUUACCCACACACGAGGAAAUCAAGGAGGAAGAGAGCAUAGAGCCGGCCAAGGUGGCUGUGGAUGACCACGUGGAGAAUGUCGAGCCCAGGGAGAGUGCUUCAGUCGCGAUCCUGCAGGAGGGAGAAAAGUUGGCGGUGCCAGAGAUUGAGAGUGCUGCACCGGAUUCCAUGCAUGCGACAGAUGCCACCCUGGAGGACACACAGCGAGCAUCUUCUGCCAGUGAAGACAUUGACGAGAACGUGGAAGAGGAGCAAACCAACGUUGACGUGCCACAUCCAGUAUCCGAACGCGAGCUUGAGAUUCCCAUUCCAGUAGAAGGACUCCCGCAGUUGGGGAACAUAGAAGUCCAGGAGCCAGAGCAUGCGCUAGAGGCCGUUCUCGAGCUAGGGGCCGUGCCUGAGGCUUCUGAAGAGGCUCCCAAGGAGGUGGAACCGGCCGAGCCAGUCGUAGCUCAAGUACCAACUGCCACAGUCGAUGAUGUCUUACCUGGACACGAGGAAAUCAAGGAGGAAGAGAGCAUAGAGCCGGCCAAGGUGGCUCUGGAUGACCAGGUGGAGAAUGUCGAGCCCAGGGAGAGUGCUUCAGUCGCGAUCCUGGAUGAGGGAGAAAAGUUGGCGGUGCCAGAGAUCGAGAGUGCUGCACCGGAUUCCAUGCAUGCGACAGAUGCCACCCUGGAGGACACACAGCGAGCAUCUUCUGCCAGUGAAGACAUUGACGAGAACGUGGAAGAGGAGCAAACCAACGUUGACGUGCCACAUCCAGUAUCCGAACGCGAGCUUGAGAUUCCCAUUCCAGUAGAAGGACUCCCGCAGUUGGGCAACAAAGAAGUCCAGGAGCCAGAGCAUGCGCUAGAGGCCGUUCUCGAGCUAGAGGCCGUGCCUGAGGCUUCUGAAGAGGCUCCCAAGGAGGUGGAACCGGCCGAGCCAGUCGUAGCUCAAGUACCAACUGCCACAGUCGAUGACGUCUUACCCGGACACGAGGAAAUCAAGGAGGAAGGGAGCAUAGAGCCGGCCAAGGUGGCUGUGGAUGACCAAGUGGAGAAUGUCGAGCGCAGGGAGAGUGCUUCAGUCGCAAUCCCGGACGAGGGAGAAAAGUUGGCAGUGCCAGAGAUGGAGAGUGGUGCACCGGAUUCCGUGCAUGCGACAGAUGGCACAGUGGAGGAGUCACAGCGAGCAUCUCCUGCCAGUGAGGGCAUUCACGAAAACGUGGAAGAGGAGCAAACCAAAGUCGAGGUGCCAGAUGAAGUUUCCAAACGUGAGGUCAAGCUUUCCGUCCCAGUAGAAGAACUCCUGCAGUCAGGGAACGAAGCCGUCCAGGAGCCACAGCCUGUGCUUGAGGCCGUGCCUGAGGAUUCUGAAGAGGCUGCCAAGGAGGUGGAACCGGCCGAGGCAGUCGUAGCUCAAGUACCAACUGCCACAGUGGAUGACGUCUUACCUGCACACGAGGAAAUCAAGGAGGAAGAGAGCAUAGAGCCGGCCAAGGUGGCUCUGGAUGACCAGGUGGAGAAUGUCGAGCCCAAGGAGAGUGCUUCAGUCGCGAUCCUGGACGAGGGAGAAAAGUUGGCGGUGCCAGAGAUCGAGAGUGGUGCACCGGAUUCCAUGCAUGCGACAGAUGCCACAGUGGAGGACACACAGCGAGCAUCUUCUGCCAGUGAAGACGUUCACGAGAACGUGGAAGAGGAGCAAGCGAACGUUGCGGUGCCACAUCAAGUUUCCGAACGAGAGCUUGAGAUUGCCGUCCCAGUAGAAGGACUCCCACAGUUGGUGAACGAAGCCGUCCAGGAGCCACAACCUGUGCCUGAGGCCGUUCCCGAGCCAGAGGCCGUGCCUGAGGCUGCUGAAGAGGCUGCCAAGGAGGUGGAAGCGGCCAAGCCAGUCGUAGCUCAAGUACCAACCGCCACAGUGGAUGACAUCUUACCCACACACGAGGAAAUCAAGGAGGAAGGGAGCAUAGAGCCGGCCAAGGUGGCUCUGGAUGACCACGUGGAGAAUGUCGAGCCCAGGGAGAGUGCUUCAGUCGCGAUCCUGGACGAGGGAGAAAAGUUGGCAGUGCCAGAGAUCGAGAGUGGUGCACCGGAUUCCAUGCAUGCGACACAUGGUACAAUGGAGGACUCACAGCGAGCAUCUUCUGCCAUUGAGGACAUUCACGAGAACGUGGAAGAGGAGCAAACAAAAGUCGAGGUGCCACAUGAAGUUUCCGAACGCGAGGUCGAGCUUGCCGUCCCAGUGGAACAUCUCCCACAGUCAGGGAACGAAGAAGUCCAUGAGCCACAGCCUGUGCCUGAGGCCGUUCCCGAGCAUGAGGCCGUGCCUGAGGCUGCUGAAGAGGCUUCCAAGGAGGUGGAACCGGCCGAGCCAGUCGUAGAUGAAGUACCAACCGCCACAGUGGAUGACAUCUUAC